rnacentral:lncRNA from 1 species
AAUCGUCAGUGUAGAACUGAAGCAUAGUACCACCGGCUCCUCCAGCAGCUCCACCACUAGUUGUCCUCCUGCGCCGUAGGUUGGCAGCAGAGGCUGCAGCAGUACCUCUCUGUGGACCACCUCCACCCAAUGCCAUUUCUAAUCAUCAUGUUGAAAAAAAAAAGAAGCAAAAACUUUAGAUGAGGUACAAAACAGAGGAUCUCGGAAUGCACUCAACAGGUCAGUAAUGCAAAUGCUCAAACCCAGGGAAUAAGCAAGAAAAAUAAUUAAGUAAUAAUAACAUAAAACAAGCAUAAUCAAUUGAUAAGCAGAAAUUUACAAUACAGGCACUCAUGCGUUGUUAAAUUCCUCCUUAAACAUGUUACAAGCAUUACCGUGUAACUUUAUCCAAUUGAAGAGUUCAGAAAUCAAUGGAUUAAAAACUAUUCCUUUGACCAAAUUAAACUAUCCUAGUUUGCCUUUUAUGGUCUAUUACAUUGAAUCACCAUACAUCAAUCUCAAACUGCUGGUAUUUGAAGAAUAAAACUUAAAUAUUUGGUCAUUUGUAUAUGGUUAAAUACUUAUCUAGCAUUUUUUGAAUCUCAAAGGAUACGGAAAAUAUUACUCCUAAAGUGCAGACAAUUUGACUAGAAGAGACAAAUUAGGACUCUUAAUUAGGAAGAGAAGGUACUAAAAUUAGGAGGAAUGCUUAAGAUAUUAUGCGUAUCAAAUUUCGAUACAACAAAAAUUGUCUAUUGGUUCUACACUGAAGCUAACACAUUCAUAUAUGAGUUUCAGUUAUCCUAUACAAUGUUUUAAACCAUCAUCUUCACCAUUUAUUUAGAGAAAGUUCAUUGGCCAUUCAACACUGUUGCCCCGUAUUGGCAUUUCCUAGUACACAGGGAAACUGAUUAGGCAAUAAUUCUGCCUCGUAUAGGCAUUUCCUGGUCUCACUUAGUUCUAGGAGUUCUAUUCAGUGGUUUUAAUGAACAACAUGCUAUAGUUUACAAGCCCAACCUGCCUACCAAAGCUAAAGCAGAUGAGCUCACAUUAAGUGUUGGAAUUUGAACCUGAGAUCACUAAAUUGUUACUUCUACACCUUAACUACUCAACCAUCAACCAUCCCUUCAGUAAUAAGAGUGUUUAAACUUUAAUUUUUAUAAUGAACAUGAUUUUUCUUGAAAUCCUAGUAUACUCAUGCUUUACGAGCCAUAUGCAAAACUACUAAUAAAUAUACAAGUCAAACAUCCAAAGUGAAUAUUUAAGAAAGAAAGUAAUGGCCGUUUGCAGGAGCUACUAAAUUCAUAACAUCUAGUUAAGUGAAAACCCCACUGCAUAUAUGUCUUUCACCAUUACCCUGUCGAGGUGCGCGCAAGCUGGCCCAGAUACCACGGUUAUCAAAAAAGAAAAUGCCUUUCACCAUCUUAUAUCCGUCACUUAUGGAAGCAUUUGUUUCUUUAAUACAAAUGAUAGACAGAGGCAACUCUAGGAUUUAAACUAUAUGACUCAAUCUUUAAAAUUCUUAGUAUUGAAUCCAUUACGUUUUUAAAGCUAUGAGUUCAUAUCUACUAUUUGUUGCACUUUGAGUGGAGUUUUACACAUAUAUUUAUGUUCCACGUCGAAAGUUAUGGGUUCAAUUGAACCCGUCCCUGUAAUGCUACAUCCGCAUAGAGCUAGAGCACCUUAUAUAUCCACAAUCAGGAUAUAGUAACCAUUCAGCAUUACAGUGUAAGGGAAUUAAUGUUAAUAAUUUGACUCUUUUGCCUCAAAUAAGAAACCGAUUACAUCGCCAACUAAAGUAAUUAGCUAAUCUUAUUCUAUAUCUCCGUCAAAGGUUAAUUAAUUUCUGGGGGGAAAAUCUAAAUAUUAAAUAAAGCCCUCGCUGCUCCACAAGUAUGAAAUCUUAUAACAAAUAAAAGAAUCAUACGAUCUGCAAUUCAGUUUUUAGAGAUCCUCCAAAUUUCAAUCUCAGUCAAACAUUAAUUACUCGAAUUUACAACUAUCGCAAACAGAAAAAACUCAAAUUUUCACCACUCACAUGCACACAUAUAAGAAACUAUUCAAGCAUAUAUAGGUAGAUAAAUAUAAAUCUGCAUGUGAAAAAGAAGAAGAAGAUAAAUCUGCAUGAAAAAUCAGCAGAAAAAAUAAGAAAAUUCAAAAUUACAAUUGAGAGAGAUUAGAGAGGAGAAACUAACUUUUAGAUUUUUGGAGAUGUUUUAGAUCUGUAUCUCCGAUGUAGUAUUAGGUUUGUAGAGAGAGAGAGAGAGAGAGACAAAAAUGGAAGAGAAAG